ACGUUGCAAAGUUAGGGGAUGACCUGUGGCUGGGGGUGAAAGGCCAAUCAAACUCGGAGAUAGCUGGUUCUCCCCGAAAGCUAUUUAGUAGCGCCUCGGACGAAUACUACUGGGGGUAGAGCACUGUUUGGACUAGGGGGUCAUCCCGACUUACCAACUCCAUGCAAACUCCGAAUACCAGUAAGUAAUAUCCGGGAGACACACGGCGGGUGCUAACGUCCGUCGUGAAGAGGGAAACAACCCAGACCGCCGGCUAAGGUCCCAAAGUUCUGGUUAAGUGGGAAACGAUGUGGGAAGGCUCAGACAGCUAGGAUGUUGGCUUAGAAGCAGCCAUCAUUUAAAGAAAGCGUAAUAGCUCACUAGUCGAGUCGGCCUGCGCGGAAGAUGUAACGGGGCUCAAACCAGGCACCGAAGCCGCGGAUUCACACUUAUGUGUGAGUGGUAGGGGAGCGUUCUGUAAGUCUGCGAAGGUGUAUCGAGAGGUAUGCUGGAGAUAUCAGAAGUGCGAAUGCUGACGUAAGUAACGAUAAAGGGGGUGAAAAGCCUCCUCGCCGGAAGACCAAGGGUUCCUGUCCAACGUUAAUCGGGGCAGGGUGAGUCGACCCCUAAGGUGAGGCCGAAAGGCGUAAUCGAUGGGAAGCAGGUUAAUAUUCCUGCACGACUUGUAAUUGCGAUGGGGGGACGGAGAAGGCUAGGUGGGCCAGGCGACGGUUGUCCUGGUGAAAGUGCGUAGGUGGUGUUUCUAGGCAAAUCCGGAGACACAACACUGAGACACGAGACGAAGCCACUACGGUGGUGAAGCCAUUGAUGCCCUGCUUCCAGGAAAAGCCUCUAAGCUUCAGAUUACAAGUCAUCGUACCCCAAACCGACACAGGUGGUCGGGUAGAGAAUACCAAGGCGCUUGAGAGAACUCGGGUGAAGGAACUAGGCAAAAUAGAACCGUAACUUCGGGAGAAGGUUCGCUCUUGACAGUGAAGUCCCUUGCGGAUGGAGCAGUUGGGAGUCGCAGUGACCAGAUGGCUGGGACUGUUUAUCAAAAACACAGCACUCUGCAAACACGAAAGUGGACGUAUAGGGUGUGACACCUGCCCGGUGCCGGAAGGUUAAUUGAUGGGGUUAGCGCAAGCGAAGCUCUUGAUCGAAGCCCCGGUAAACGGCGGCCGUAACUAUAACGGUCCUAAGGUAGCGAAAUUCCUUGUCGGGUAAGUUCCGACCUGCACGAAUGGUGUAACCAUGGCCAUGCUGUCUCCACCCGAGACUCAGUGAAAUCGAAUUCGCCGUGAAGAUGCGGUGUACCCGCGGCUAGACGGAAAGACCCCGUGAACCUUUACUACAGCUUGGCACUGAACAUUGAACCUACAUGUGUAGGAUAGGUGGGAGGCUUUGAAGGCGUGACGCCAGUUGCGCUGGAGCCGUCCUUGAAAUACCACCCUUGUAUGUUUGAUGUUCUAACGCAGGGCCCUGAAUCGGGCUCGCGGACAGUGCCUGGUGGGUAGUUUGACUGGGGCGGUCUCCUCCCAAAGAGUAACGGAGGAGCACGAAGGUUGGCUAAUCCUGGUCGGACAUCAGGAGGUUAGUGCAAUGGCAUAAGCCAGCUUAACUGCGAGACGGACAGGUCGAGCAGGUACGAAAGUAGGUCAUAGUGAUCCGGUGGUUCUGAAUGGAAGGGCCAUCGCUCAACGGAUAAAAGGUACUCCGGGGAUAACAGGCUGAUACCGCCCAAGAGUUCAUAUCGACGGCGGUGUUUGGCACCUCGAUGUCGGCUCAUCACAUCCUGGGGCUGAAGUCGGUCCCAAGGGUAUGGCUGUUCGCCAUUUAAAGUGGUACGCGAGCUGGGUUCAGAACGUCGUGAGACAGUUCGGUCCCUAUCUGCCGUGGGCGUUGGAUGAUUGAAGGGAGUUGCUCCUAGUACGAGAGGACCGGAGUGAACGAACCUCUGGUGUUCGGGUUGUCACGCCAGUGGCACUGCCCGGUAGCUAAGUUCGGAAUCGAUAACCGCUGAAAGCAUCUAAGCGGGAAGCGAGCCCUGAGAUGAGUCAUCCCUGACCCCUUGAGGGUCCUAAAGGGCCGUUGGAGACCACAACGUUGAUAGGUGGGGUGUGUAAGCGCGGCGACGUGUUGAGCUAACCCAUACUAAUUACCCGUGAGGCUUAACCAU
rnacentral:rRNA from 1 species